rnacentral:rRNA from 1 species
GACGAAGGAUGCAAGCGUUAUCCGGAUUCAUUGGGUUUAAAGGGUGCGUAGGCGGUCUUAUAAGUCAGUGGUGAAAUCUCUCAGCUUAACUGAGAAACUGCCAUUGAUACUGUAGGACUUGAGUACAGAUGAUGUUGGCGGAAUAUGACAUGUAGCGGUGAAAUGCAUAGAUAUGUCAUAGAACACCGAUUGCGAAGGCAGCUGACAAAACUGUAACUGACGCUGAGGCACGAAAGUGUGGGGAUCAAACAGG